rnacentral:sRNA from 1 species
AUGGAUCCAAAUCUAAAUAAACACGCAGAGAAAAUAAUAUAUGUGUAAUAAUUAAAAGAAAAUCAGCUGCUGAGCGAAAUCUUUAUUUACACUUGGGGUAAUGGUCGGCCCUGAACAUUUGUCAGCAGACAAUCUUUCUAUAACGCUCUUACGCUUACCCCAGUCGGGGGGGGCGGUGCUGUUCCAGCACUGCCACUCGCGUUAAUGGCUCCAGGUUGAGGAAGAGGUCGGGUACCGGCGAUAGGGGGCAAGGGGGGUGCCCAACCAGCCCAAGCGGGAACUCCAGCGGGGGGUGUGGGUUGCGCAGGGGGCUUCUUUUCCUCCUGUAACACAAGUCCCAUUAGCUUAAAGAAGCAGCUUUGGAAUCGUUCUUACCUUCUUCUCAGCUACUGAGUUUUUAGGCGGAUUCACAGGGUAGGGCAAGAUGGCCAUCAGGUCCCUGCAAAGUCGAUUGACGCCCCUUCAUAAGAAGAAGUUCGGCAAGCUCCCUUGAAGGUCAUAAGUCGGAAAGCAUGCAGAGCAAUAAAGGCGCUGAAGACUCA